GAGAGAAAACCCUGUCCUGCAACCCCCUAAGACACAAUCAAGUCUAGGUUGCAACUAUCGGCCCCUCAGAUCAAAACACAUUCCCAUCUCUACAAACUCUCUCACCCCCUACGCUCUCGAUGUGGCUAGAGGGUCUCCAGCUGGAAAGGUGCCUCUACCGGAUGCUCUCCGGCCAGAAUGAGAGGCUGGAGUCGCGCGGAGGCGCAAGGGAUGCGGGAGAAGGCGGGAGCGGAGCCGAAGAGGCAGCCAACGAGGCUGGGUCUCGGAAACAAGCGGGAAAGGGCGGGAAGGGGCAAAGGGCGGCCAAGGGAGGCGAAAAGGGGAAGCUACAGCAGAGCGGGAGCGGGCGGAGGGGCGGGACGCGGCGGGGAGCGCGGGGGCGCGGGAAGGGGAAAGAGACCCGAGCUUGGGCCGACCCAGGCCGCGGAUGCCGAGGGGGCGCGGAGAGGCCCAAGCCCAGCCCAGCCCGGCCCGGCCCGGCCCGGCCCAGGCAGUCAACGCCGGGGGGAACGACGCGACGAGAGGCGGGCGGGCCCAGGGGAAGCCGCCCGAGGCCAGGUCGGGCCCGCAGGCCGAAACGCGAUGCCGCGAACUCUCCCCGUCUUGUCAAGGGACUCACCUCCUCGCAGCUGGGGCGCUCCGGGAAUCCGGUCCCGUCAGUUCAGAUCGUCUCUCGCAGAUCGCAGCGCCUGACUGACCCGGAUCCAAACCCGCGGAGGGGCCAGCCCGCGCCUCCCGAGUCGCACUGAGCCUGCGUCACUCAGCCACGCGCCCCGCCCCUUGCUCAUGCUCCUCCCACCCCAGUGACUCGGCAGCGCUGCAGGCGGUGGCUGCGCAGGCGCGGGGCACCGGCUUUGCCUCUCAAAUGCCCUGUACCCGCCCCUCUCGGAAGCACGUGCGUGUACGUCAUUUCCUGUUAUUCUCCUCGCUUAAUCCUCGGUGCUCCGCGGGUUCGCUGGGGACCGGAGUUUGGGGCGUGCCCGCUUCCUCUGUGUCAGUCCUCUCAGCUUGCCUCCUGACCUUGCCUCGUCCGCCCAGCACCUCCCUGGGGCAGGCGUACCCUUCGGGAUUUCCCACAUGGCACACGGCGGAAGGGGAAGGAGAGAACUGCCCUUGUCCACCGCCUCACCUGGGGCUGCUUUUCCAGCCGAGGAGCUACCGUGGUGCUGCAGCCCAGCCAGCGGGAGUCUUCCGGAAAGGCCAGUGCUCUCCCUUGGCUCUGCUUAGGGAAUGGGGCACCAGCCUCCUCCAAACCUAAGUGCCUCUGAGCCCCACACGGGGGAUUUGGCCUUUAGGGAGGGCAGACCCGAACGCUUGUCCUGCUUUUUCUCCUGGGCAGGCCCAGAAGGCCAUUGUCUGUCCCUUCCCGCUCUAUGGGAGCUUUAAUCUGACAGUGUGUCAUCUCCACACUGGGGCUGAUAGGAGAUCUCUCUCCUCUUACCCUCAACUUGUGUUCUUGAU